rnacentral:lncRNA from 1 species
GCGACAGGCGCGGGCCCUGACCCGGCCACUUUGUCCUUGUCCUCAUUGCUCUGAGCCGGGAAGCCUGGCGGGGACCAGCUGGGGAGACACAGAAACUGAGGCCCACAGGGAAGUGACUCAUCUGUGAUCACACCGCCAUCAGAAGGGAAAGGACCUCAGGGCCCUGGACCAGAAGGAUGUCCUGGCCCGGAGUAAAUGCCCAGUAGGUACUUGUUGGUAGAUGAGAUGCCCUUGGAAGAUUUUGUUGCCUGAACUGACCAGAAGGGAGGCCGAAUUCUGAAUCUUGCCAUCAGCACCCGGUUGCACCAGCCUGGUCCAGGGAGGGCUUCUUGGCACCUGAGAUGCUUCAGAGCUGGGUUGCCACCCGACCCAGACGGGGGACCCGCUCUGGCACCUUCUUGCCGAUGGCACCAUCUGCCUGUGUGUGCGUUUGCCGGGGGCUCAGCGGGCAAGGGCGGGCUCGGGACGUGAGCCACAGCAGUAGUCGUUCCACCGCGUGCCACACGCCCACGCCAAUGACUCCAGCGGCCGACGAUGGGGACGGGUUGAAUCACAGGCCAUUGGGUGAUGGAUGUCUAUGCUGUCUUUAAAUUGUCUACUGAGUUCAGUGACAAGCGGAUAUGAAGAGACAAGGUCUGUAAGUACUAUAUACGGUAAAAUUUCCACUUCGUUAUAAAAUACCCUCAUAGGAAAGUGCUGGAAGGCAGCCAGCCAAAACACCUGAGAGGACAAAUAGUAGAGGGUGAAAUUUAAUGACUUUGGUCUUAAUACAUCUGAGAUUGACCGUGGUGGGCACGGUUGGCAGAAGGACAGCUCCCGGAGAUGUCUGCGUCCUCAUCUUUGGAACCUGUGCACAUGGUACAAAGGGGACUUUACAGAUGUGAUUAAACCAAGGAUCUUGUUAUGGGGAGAAUCUUCUGGAUCAUCAAGGUGGGCCCAAAGCAAUGACAUGUGAAAGGAGGAGGCAGGAGCGCAGGUUGUUGAAGGAGAUGUGAGUCACUGCUGGCGUUGAAGACGUAAGGAGGCUGCGAACCAAGGAACACGGGCUGCCCCCAGGAGCCGGAACCAUUCCAGACGGAAUGUGGCCCUGCUGGUACCUUGAUUUUGGUCCUGUGAGACCUAAUUUCCCCCUUCUGAUUUCUGGAACUCUAGGCUAAUAAACGUGUUGUUUUAAGCCA